ensembl:rRNA 5S_rRNA 5S ribosomal RNA
GCUUAAGGCCAUACCACCCUGAGCGCGCCCGAUCUAGUCUGAUCUCGGAAGCUAAGCAGGGUCGGGCCUGGUUAGUACUUGGAUGGGAGACCGCCUGGGAAUACCAGGUGCUGUAAGCU